rnacentral:lncRNA from 1 species
GAGCAACUUAGCUUCCUCACAAGCAAUGAGAGUUCAUUUUUUGCAAUACAAAUAUUUGUCAUUGAAGUUUUGUUUGGUGGCGACCCAAAUAGUAAUGGGACAUUUAGAAAUAUGAAAUUAUAGAUUCAAAGUUUCCAUCACCUCUGGCCAUGAAAACAACAAUUUCGAAAGGGUAAAUUGUGGACAAAGAUAUUUACCCUAAUAUAAUAUUGAAAGCUAUUUCCCAAUUCCAAUGGGUAUAGGAGAGACACCUUUCGGUCUAAUCACAGUCAUUAUUCAUAAAUCUUCAUUGAUCACAACAAUUUUAACAAUUAAAAAGGAAUCUCGUAACGGGUGGUUUAGACCAACCAUAGGCUUCAUGGUAUCCAGCACUAAAAGAAUUAAAGUAGCAAUAUAUGUACUUUCUUCCCAACUUCUUUUAACUCCCUCACCUUCCGCCCUAAAAGGAUUAGGUCUAAGACAAUUUAGUAGGAAAUGUUUGAAAUCAUCAACAAAGAUAGUGAUAGACAUUUAAACCAGUAAUACAUAAAUAAAGACCACAAAUAACAUAAGAUAUUCACUUUAAUUGUGCUUAAAUAGGUUGAGCUAGAAAUAAUAUGAUAUUACAUUGGGAAAACAACAUUAGGCUGUAUGAGAAAAGAUAAUAUGCUUUGCAUUGUCAUCUUUUUUUGGCUCACAUAUGAGAAAAUUUCUGCCUAUUUUGGGGUAGCCGGUCCUGCCGAUGUGCGGUUUGGGUCUCCAAUGUGACGAGUUUCACUCAAAAACAGCCAAAUGGGUUAAUUUUAUGCUUUGAAAAAAAAUAUGCCAUUGGUGUAACAGUUCUAGAGGAAGGGGUUGCCUGCAUUUACCAUUU